UUUUUCUAACUUUUCUAAACUCCACUUCACCAAACCACUUUCUAACUCUUCUUGGCCGGACCAGCAUGUCUAAUUGAUUGACCCAAAUUUAUCUAUGCUGACCCUGAUGUCAAGUUGAAUCUUUGGCAGUUUGUUUCUCAUCUCCCUGGUCAGUUGUUUCUGCUCCAUCUUUAUCAUACUUGAAGGUGAGUCCACUAGCAUUGAGUUUAUGAGCCACCAUUCUGUUGAUCUGAUAGUUUGUUUCUUUAUUGAAGUAAAGCCUCCAUUCACCUAUCUUUCCUGA
rnacentral:lncRNA from 1 species